GUUACAUCAUAAAAAUAUUUAAUUAAUGAUCAUAUUAAUUCUCCACGGUUUACAUUUAAAUAUAAUCGUUACGACACCGAACGUGACAUUCCAAUUUUAAUGGUGACGUUGGCACUAGUCGGAAACGUGCAGCAUGUCAAUAGCAGAGCUGGAGCUGGAGACGGGCGGGCGCGCGCUGGGCGGCAGGUUCACGACGGCGGAGGGGCUGCUGCGGGCCACGGCCGACCAGCUGCGGGCUGCGGGCGACGCGCCGGGGCUCGCCAGCGAACGACUGCAACUGUAAUCAUUUCAAAAAUAAUAAUUAACCGUAUCCAUCCUCCAUCCAUUUCUUCUCAGGUCUUCCUCUAUUCCUGGAACCCUUUACUUCCAUCUUCAAUGCCCUUUGAGUGACGUGAUUUUCAUCUCUUCUUAACCUAAAAAACCUUAAAAAAUAAUUAAAUAAUAUGGUAAUAAUUAAAAGCAGUCAGGUUAUUAGUAUACAGGAGUCAAAAACAAUUUCGGUCUUUAAGAAAAGGGUUAAGGAACAUCUCCUUUCUGUUUGAUCCUAAUAUACAUAUAUAUUAUUUGUAUUUACUAUUAUAGAUUAUUUACUAUAUGUAGUUCUUAUACAUGUUUUAUACAUUACACAUAAAAUAUUUAUGUUUAUUGUAAUUUUCUUUUUUUCCCAUUCUUCUUUCGCGGGUCUACUGGAAGAAAUUUCUAUAGAAAUAAAUAAUACACUUUCCUAUUUGUAAGAUUUAUAUUUACACUGUUAUGUUGUGUACAUAAAUAAAUAUAAAAAAACUUUUUAUCAGAGUUUGUCCAAGAAAUUACAAUGUGCUCAAGUAAAUCAACUGCACUGGCCACCAAGAUUUGCAUUAGACAAUUAAGUUGAAUUAUUCUAAUUUUAAAAACAUUUUUCGCUGUCAAUUGUUGCAAAAUAUUUUAAGUUUGAACGCUAAGUGUGUCUGUGUACGUGGCACCGUAACUCAUCAACGGUUGAACCGAUUAGAAUGCGGUUUUUUUUGAUAGGUAAUUUUUGUGCGGCAGUUCUUAGAUAUGUUUGAUCAAAAUCGGCUCAGCCGUUCAAAAGUAGUAACGAAAUGAAUAAUGAUAAAGUCGGGGUUUUAAUUUGUCUAACAAAUAAACUUGUGAACAGUUGUAUUUUUUGGGUUCCAAUAUUAUAUUUACACUAGCUGCGCCCCGGAGCUUCGCUCGAAGACUGAAGAUUUCGGGAUAAAAAUUACCCUACCAAAUUUCAUAGCAAUCUGUGCAAUAGAUUUUGCGUGAAAGAGUAACAAACGUACAUACACACAUCCUCACAAACGUUAGCCUUUAUAAUAUUAGGAGGAUUUUAAUUGCCAAUACACAUUAUUUAAUUACCAUAAAAAUUGUUCAGAGUUUGACGAUGAUAAUAUUGGCGCAGUGGUAAAGUGCUUGCCUCUGAACCAUGAGGUCCCGAGUUCGAUCCCCGGUCGGAUCAUGAUGGAAAAUGAUCUUUUUCUGAUUGGCCCGGGUCUUGGAUGUUUAUCUAUAUAUGUAUAUGUUAUAAAAUAUAGUAUCGUUGAGUUAGUAUCCCGUAAUACAAAUCUCUGUGAUUUGUCCUUACAUUAAUUUAUUUAUAAUAAUGAUGUUCACAGAUUCAUAGAGAAGCUCCAAGAAGUGUUGGACGGUAACCGUGCAGUGACCAUAGUGUUGGACGACCCCGCUGGUAACUCGUAUGUUCAGAGCUUGGCCGACGACCCGACCACACCAGACGAAGGUGUUAAGAUAACGAGAUACGAGCGCUCACACGAACAGAACGAGGAGCUAGGACUCAAUGAUAUGAAGACUGAAGGAUACGAGGAAAGCUAGCGGGCGUCAUUACGUUUUAAUGUAUUUUAACCCAAGCAGAGAAUAAAUAUAUUUGUUUAUU